GGUUUCAGUCUAUCACCCUGACUGGAGUGCAGUAGCAUAAUCAUGGCUUACUGCAACCUCGACCUUACAAGCUCAAGUGAUCCUCUCACCUCAGCCUCCUGAGAAGGUGAGACUACAGGCAUGCACCACCACAUCUGCCUGAUUUUUUCCUUUUUUUUUUUUUGAGACGGAGUCUCACUCUGUCGCCAGGCUGGAGUGCGAUGGCACAAUCUCGGCUCACUGCAACCUCCGCCUUCCAGGUUCAAGUGAUUCUCCUGCUUCAGCCUCCUGAGUAGCUGGGACUACAGGUGCCUGCCACCAUGCCUGGCUAAUUUUUAUAUUUUUAGUAGAGAUGAGGUUUCACCAUGUUGGCCAGGAUGGUCUCGAUCUCUUGACCUCGUGAUCUACCAGCCUCGGCCUCCCAAAAUGCUGGGAUUACAGGCAUGAGCCACCACACCCAGCCUUUUUUCUAUUUUUUAUAGAGAUGGGGUCUCACUAUGUUGCCUAGGCUGGUCUUGAACUCCUGGGUUCAAGCGAUCCUCCUGCCUUGGCCUUCCCAAAUGCUGGGGUUGUAGACCUGAGCCACCAUGCCUGGUCAUCUUUCCCCAGUCUUAGCAUGUGGAUGUGAGAGCUGGAAGAUUCCCAAAGACCUGGCCGGAGACUCCUGUUUGAAGGAGGAGAGGGAAGAGCCUUAAGGGGUUCCCAAGGUUGCACAUCUGGGCAGGGACAGAACAUCAGACACAUUGUACGGCUGCAACAGGCUGGCACUGCUGACAUCACAGACAUCAGGACAGACCAGGAAGACACCCAUCAAAUUCUGGGCUGGAAGAUACGGAAUACUCUGACUUUACCCAAGGCUGAGCCUUCCUCAGAAGCUCCUGAGAAGAAAAGAAUUCAGGGGCCUCAUGAAUGAGGCUCAGAAAUUUGGUGCAAUAAUCACCAAUGAGCCCCAACCCAGGGAAGUGUAACGUAUCACCCCAAUUUUAUAAGGAAGAACACUGAGGCUCAGAGAGGUAAAGUAACCCAUCCAAGAGUCAUAGAGGGGGAUCGUCUGGGUCCAAAGCACAGCAGCCUCAUGGGGAGCACCUUGUACUGUGUCCUGUGCUACCCAUUGGCAAUGCAGACAGCAGGGGGGAUGCGUGCAUCUGGAGGAAGAUUAGCAUCAGCAUUUCACCUGAAGCCUGAGGGCUCAAAGGAAAAUGUUUUACAGGUAGCGGUAGCUCUUCAGAAAACCAGGGAGGGAAGUGACCAGGGAUGUGUCUCUGCUUCUGCAUGGCGUUAUCAUGCAAGCUGUGCAGUGUGCCCCAACUCUCAAGAUCGGAGUCACUGCAGACCACCACCCGCAGCCCCAAAUCUCUACCCUCUGGAAGGACGGAGAACAUAUUCAGGUGCAGACCUCAGCCCUCUGCAUGCAGUAGAGGUGAAAUAAGUCAUCGUGGAAGGAAUGAGUGAAUGGAGAGAAUCUGCGCUCAGAAUCCCAACGAUGGAAUUGGA
rnacentral:lncRNA from 10 species